rnacentral:rRNA from 1 species
AGUGAACGCUGGCGGUAGGCCUAGCACAUGCAAGUCGAACGGCAGCACAGUAAGAGCUUGCUCUUACGGGUGGCGAGUGGCGGACGGGUGAGGAAUACAUCGGAAUCUACUUUUUCGUGGGGGAUAACGUAGGGAAACUUACGCUAAUACCGCAUACGACCUACGGGUGAAAGCAGGGGAUCUUCGGACCUUGCGCGAUUGAAUGAGCCGAUGUCGGAUUAGCUAGUUGGCGGGGUAAAGGCCCACCAAGGCGACGAUCCGUAGCUGGUCUGAGGGGAUGAUCAGCCACACUGGAACUGAGACACGGUCCAGACUCCUACGGGAGGCAGCAGUGGGGAAUAUUGGACAAUGGGCGCAAGCCUGAUCCAGCCAUACCGCGUGGGUGAAGAAGGCCUUCGGGUUGUAAAGCCCUUUUGUUGGGAAAGAAAAGCAGCAGGUUAAUACCCCGCUGUUCUGACGGUACCCAAAGAAUAAGCACCGGCUAACUUCGU